GCUGACUGGAAGUCUCUCUUGUAGCCUGCAGUUCAUUUUCACAGGGAGCCGAGCAGGGAUCAGGAAAUUCCUGAAUAAGAGGAGAGUCAGAUCUUUCCAAGAGUGACUCUGCAGAAGUCUGAGUCACCACACUCGGCAGCGCUGUACAAUGGGAGCUCAAUACCACAACGUCCACCUCCUCCAGCUCUUCCAGGGAAAACACUGAUGUAACCUCUCCUGCAUGUCUUUGGUCUGCUGCGGGUGCUCCUCCUGGUUGGACACACCUGUAAAACCUCACCUGGGAGGCGUCCAGACAGCAUCCUUUUUAGAUGGCUGAGCCACCUCAACCGGCUCCUUUUGACGUUAAAUGAUUAAAAAAACAAAAAACAAAACGAAAAUCUGGUUGAACAACUCACACCUUAGUUUACUGGCAACAAAUCUCUUUUCCACUGAUGCAGUGCCAGCGGUGAUGCCAGAUCUAAAUCAAUAUUGUCUGAACAUGAUUCUCAGGCCCUUCAGUGGGACUGUAGUAAAGCCAGGCAGAAGUCUGCUGGAAAUCACUGCCCUAAAGGCUCAGGAAGACUCUCAAAAACAAGUGUUACUAAACGAAGUCCACUCAAAAAUUCAAAACAAAGCAUAUAUAAACAACAUCCAGAAACAUUACAGCCUUCUUUGGGUCAUAAAUGUAUGAAGCGUACUGAUCAGUCUAACACUGGUUUCUCAGAUGCGUUCCCAGUCAAAACCUGUUCACAUAUUCUUUUCCUUAUUCCUUUCUGACACCUUUCACCUUUCUUGAAGGUGUCCUCCUACAUACAUGUUUAGAUGACUGCCUCUUCUGCACGCUUGGAAGCAAAACCAAAAUACAAAAAGUGCCAGUGAGAGAAGUACCACUCUGCUGGUAAUAAGGAUUUAUCUGUCACUCAGACAAAUCAGUGUCGUCUGAUGGUCACUCCUAUACAUCCUGCUAUGACUUGGUCUAACCCUCACCCUAAAGAAGACUUAUUGCAAAACUAAGAAAGAGGGUACGGGAUAACAAAGCCCUCAAAAGAAUCAGAGCUGUUGCUCUCAGCAAUUUGCUUGGCAUACAUGGAAACUGUAUGCCAAACAACAUGAGAAAUGUCUAAAUAUCCUCUGCUGAAGAUACUUAAGGAGUAUUUUUAACAUGAAGUGGUGAGACAAACUACCAAAUGUUGAAAUAUUUGCCACCAAGCCUGCAUGCUAUCUUAUCUCGGCACCCAAACUUGCGCCAUAAAAGUAAAAGUAGUAGUAAGAGUCGAGAAAUGUCACCAACUGUAAACAUAGGGCGCAUUUUAAAUAAAACAAAAAAACCCCACAAACUGCUGAGUAGCUGAAAUGUUACGUCUUUCCAUUCUUCAUUGAUACAUUUCUUUCAGAACUACAGCAGCUGAUCUCUUUCAUUCUUCAACGCCUACAGGCUGUUAAAAUAAGAGAUGAUGCAACGCUGCGGUAAACAUGUGUCUGUCCCAGCUAUUUUGAAACCUGUUGUUGGCAUCAAAUUCAAAGAGAACAUUAAAAAAAAAAGAGGCUAAUUUCUAAUCGAAAGACAAAUGUUUUCCAUUUCAGGGUUUCACAUGUUGUCUUCUUAUUGCUUCGCCUAAAUACACCCUUAAAAUGAUUUGACUUCUGUUUUUAUCUCCAUUUUACACAAAGUCUGAACUCUUUUUGGAAAUAGGUAAUUAGUAAUGAGCUGCUGGUGCUUCGUAUUUAACAUUUCCUUUAGGGCAGGGGUGUCAAACCUAAGACCCGGGGGCCAAAAUCAGCCCUGCAAACGCUCUAAUUCGGCCCAUGGGGCAAAUGUGAAAAUAUGAAAUAGGACAUUAGACUCGUGCCGAUUGAUUUUUUUCAUUUAUUACAGCAGCGCUUCUUUAUAAUGUAGAAAAUCUGAGACGCACUGUUGAAAUUGCUCUUCUUUAACUUAUAUUAAGAUAUUUCAGGAGUUUAAUGUGCAGUCAAACUUCUUUAGAUGUAAAAUGAGUUCAAUAUCCCUGCUUUAAGGGGAAAAAAGGACAAGGAUUUAUGACCUCUGACUGUAAGCUUUGUGUAACUGGGGCCCUUUAUCACAAAACAGUUACCACUUCCACCCCAGAGAUACUUCCCCUCUAUUUCCCCCAGUAGCUAUUUAAACAAAAACCACAUGAGAAGAUCAAACAGGUAUGCAACAAAUACAAGGAUGUAAUGUUUUAAGGCAGCAAAGAUGUGAGAAAAAAGACUGGAUAUAGCAGAACUUUGCAUUUCUUCUCAUCUCAUCAUCUGAUGAGUCCUCGAGGUUAACUUGUGACCUCUUGAAGUCACCCUGACGCUGAGGUUGGAAAAACCCUGGAUUACACCCCUGCAGCUCUCCCUCAAGCAGCUGCACAGCUUACACGCUAACAUGUCAAAUUGUGUUUUUAUGUGUUAGUUGCAGGGGGUAAUUUUUCUGCAAACCAAGCACAAACGUUGUUUUUAAGUUAAAUGGAAAAGCUCUGUUUUUGCUGCUUCUCUGACAGGCUGAUGCCUUUGGUUGUUUCUGUUGAGACAUUCAGCCGUGAGCAGUUCCUGUUCCUGUUCCUGCCACCCCCCCACCCCCCCGGCUGCUGUUGCUGGGACCAACCGACACUCUCACUGAUGUGACAUAUACUAAUCAACUAUAAUAGGGUAAAAAAACAUGCAUGUAGGUCAUAGCGUAAAUAAGAGGUUCGAGCCGGUGCUUCCCCGCUUAUAAGCUCCACAUCCUUCCUCUUGCUGAACGCAGCAAGGAGCGAUGACUUUGACGUCGACACAUGGUCGACAUGUAAACAAAGCUGGCUGACCUGCCUCACCACAGAUGUCAUCACUGUGUUCCUUUGGGUUUGUUGUUGAUAUUGUCUUCAUAGAAACGGUGGAAAGGAACAAAAAAAAAAAAGAAAAAAGAUGCCAAAGUGUUGCGUGUGGUGUUGUGUACCGCUGAGUCUGUGCUACCAAAAGCUGUUGUUACAAAUGAGGUGAAAGGUAAGGGUACGUGAACGUGAGGAUGGCCACAUAGUCGUGUGGGUGAGUGAAAUGUUUUCAUGGCUGCCACCCACGUCAACACACCCUGUUUCCUCUUGAGUAAUCAUGUCAGUCAAAGCCUACACACCACUACUACUAUGAUAAUCCGAGCUGCUGUCUGUGAUUUGAUGAUUUUUCAGCCGAGAGUUUUUGCUGUACAGCGUUUCAUUAUUAUAUUAUUCUCCCUCGGCCUCAGAGGCAUAUGUCCUCCCCAUGGUUUCAACUCCCUGUUUAAACUGGUUUAAGCUGGGCUUUUGUAAUACAGAUGACGCCAUAUUUUUUUGCGCUGUGCCAUACUGCAAAUUUUGGUAUCAAUCUAUUACCAAGUAAAUACAAGCCCAGUAUUACCAAUGCCGAAAAGGCCACUUACAUGGGGGAGAGCAGUGUCCCAUGAUUUGUGAGAUGAAUCACUGAGUUUUACUUUUUACAAUAAUGAGUUAAUACAUGAAAACACACCCUUCAGCAUUGCGUAUAUUUUAAAAGUGGGGCAGCUUUUGUUGUUUAUAUGUGCUUUAUGCUAUAAAUAAAAUAGACGUGACCGUCACCACAAAAAGGGUCAGGCUUUAAUCAAACAGUUUGAGGUAUUGUUUUUUCUUUACAUGUUUUUUUAACACAAUUCAGCGGGCUACAUACUGAAUUCAGAGGUCCAGUAUCGAUCCAAUACCAAUACCCGCAUUGGUAUCAGUACUAUCGAUACACCUCUAGAUGGAAGUGGAAUUUCUUAAACACACCGAGUACAUCAGAGGACAAAUUUUCACUUCCACAAUAUUCAAAAUUUUCAAGGAGUGGUCGUCAGAAUAAAACAGGAUGUUUGCUUUGUGUGCAUGGCGAUUCAUAUGUCUGGUAAUCUAGGAAAGUUUUGGUGGGCAGCUUUGAGGAACAGUGCAUUAGACUGAACUUUCAAUAUUGAUAUAAACUUCAUCACCUUACAGAUUAGUGGGAUGUUGUGUUUCCUUUCCUUUUCUUUUUUUAUUCCUACUUUAGUGAAGUGCAUGCAGUCAUACCUAGAGUCAGUUUCUCCGAUGAAGUGGUGAUGAAGUCUUGACUGUUUAAAAGAGCUCAGAUGCAUAUUUCUGUUUCUUCAUUUCUUGACUAUUUUCUUUUUUGACUAUUGAUUGGUUAACAGUUCCUACAGUAGCUGUACGGCUGCCUCCUAUUCAGUGGUUACAAAUAACUAACUAAAUAAACAAACAGUUGAAAUUUACCUAACUUGUUUAACUUGCUUUCUCAUUUAUGCAGUCAUUGGACAUCUAUAGGCUUAUUUUAUUGUGACAGGCAAUAGACACAAUCUAAUAUUUUACAUAUACAUGCUAAUAAUAAUUAGUGACUGUUUCUUGGUAAAAAUGUACAUGCAGUUUGUUUUUAAAAUUUUACUUGGAUGUUUUUGCAUUAUGGCCUUUUUACUUUAAAAGUAAACUAUGCAAAUAAAUUAUCUACCACAAAUUUCAAGAAGACUCAGAAAUCGCUUGCAUUUUAAUGUUUUGUAAGACUGCAUGUAAAGAUGAAAAUAUGCUUUUUGAAGUAAAUAAACUUUGUGACUUUCUAAAAACUUUAAAAUUAUUUUCAAGUGGAUUUUCCCUAAUAGUUUUACCGCUGAAAAUGAAAGUCUUUUCAGGUUUCAUGUGAAUAAAGAUGUAUAAGUUAGUUCCCUAAUCAUCACUGUUUUUUGUACUGUAAAUUUUGAAUGCUCUCCGUUUUCACACAUUGAGAGUUUAUUAGGAUAAACUCUUCUUGAUCACAAAGGUUGCUCGAAUAAUUAAGCCAGCAUUCGUUUUGCAAGGAUGGCCUACUCUUAUGCAAGAUCAGGGCAGGGAGGCUUGCUGUGUAGUGACCGCAAGUCACUUCUGCACGUCAGUCUUCAAUUUUCACAGUCAUCCACAGCAAAAAAAUUGCAGAAGUGAACUAAGAUGUUGAAAUCUUGGUUCACUUCAAGACAGAUCAUGUUCUGGUCCGUUUACCGUAUCUCAGGCGGUUUGGCUUCCCGUUACAAGUCAUGGUCCGGAAAUCCGGUGUGCCUUUCACUUAGGAGGAGGAACUGUAAUUAAAAAAUAAAAAUAAAAAGGCAAAAUCAUUAUCAAAAUCAUCUUUACUUAUUUGUUUUCAUUGUUGCUAAAAAUGGCAAGGGUUUGGCUACUUUUGGUUCAGUUCUGAUAAUUGUUUGCCUUUAGUGUUAACUUAGAGGGUCUAUGUUUUUAGUGCAAAACUUCAAAACACUAAAUCCAUCUUCCAGAUCGGUCUUCUCUAUAUACCCACUCUGAAGACUUAGAAAGGGUUUAAAUACAAAUUUGU
ensembl:lncRNA